rnacentral:lncRNA from 13 species
CGCACGCGCACGGUAACGGCCAAUCAGACUUAGACACACUUUACCUCGUCGCAACAUUCCGCAGUAUUAGCUUCCCCCCGCAUCGUAAUGCUCUCUGUCCCUAUAUUUCUAUGUCCAUGGUGAGAAUUAUAACCUAACGUUGUUCCGUAGCCGUCAUUGACGUCGUUGUUGACUCUGGUUGAAUCUGCUGUGAAGUCCGUUGAUCCGUUUGGGGCAACAAACGUAUGUGGACGCGUUUAUUGUUUAUCCGUUACAAGUACUAAAAAUUAACUAAGUGAACUGUGCUAAUCAAGUUUAAGAGCAACUUAAUUAUAUUAACCUCAUCAAAGGUGUAGUUAAUGCUAAAGAUAAUGGAAAAAUUAAUAGUAUCGCAGAGAUUAAGAAACACAUUACAAGAUGGUUUCAACACGCUGGUGAUAAGAUGCGAUAUUGCUUAAAAAA